GCGCAGGCCGGGCUACCCUGCCCCCGCUCCGGCUCGGCCGCCCGGAAAUGCGGCUGCCGCCCGCAGUCCGCUCGCCGCCCAGCGGCCCGGCCCGGCCCGGCCCAGCCGCCCCUCGGGCCUCCCGCGGUUCUUGAAGGGGCACGUGUCUGAGUGAAGAAACCAGGCUCGGAAGGUGACCUGCCCAAGCCGCCAGCCGGCAGCAGCAGAGCUGUGGCUGGAACGCUGUGCCAGCCCCCGCCGGGAACUGGGGCGGCGAAGCCUCACCUGCACUCCUCGCUGCUCCAGGUGUUGGAUCAGACUUUUCCUCAUGAUGAGCCUGGUGGGGAGGGGGCGGCAAAGGUCAAGAUGAGGGGGACUGAGGAGAAGGGCGGAGGCAGGCCUCUUUGGGGACACUCCACCCAGCCGUCGCGCCCACCUCACCAUUUAGUAACCACGGCUGUCAGCUUGUUCAGCCCAGAGCAGGAGAAUGGGAAGUAGGUCCUGUGGAGAAGGGGUGUCGUGGUCAGUCCAUGGGUCUCUCUCCGUCACGGGGGUGGAGCGUGGGGGUGGUUGUGAUCCCUGACCAGUGAAACCUACCCCCCGCUAAAAGAACCUUUGCAGCCCUGGCUAGUUUGGCUCAGUGGAUAGAGUGUUGGUCUGUGGACUGAAGGGUCCCGGGUUCAAUUCCGGUCAAGGGCUCGAUCCCCAGUAGGGGGUGUUCAGGAAGCAGCUGAUCAGUGAUUCUCUCUCAUCAUUGAUGUUUCUAUCUCUCUCUCCCUCUCUGAAAUAAAUUUAAAAAAUUUUUUAAAAAAGAACCUUUGCAGUUGCCCGGACAAAGAAUUCACCCUUUGUUCAGUGAGAUCCUACUCCUAUAUCCUUGACUCCAUGCUUUGAGGGUGUGCCCACCCCUCACUGUUUUUCAGAAGCGGAAACUCAGUCUUGGAGAGUUUGAUUAACUUGCCCGAGGUCACGUGCAAGUCUGUGGUGGGGCCAGGGCGGAAACCUAGCUAGAUUCCCAAGCUGGACACAGUCUGGAGGUCCUCCUGGUUGGGCCUGACCAGCUUCUGAGAACAGUCAGCGUUUAAUGGGUCGGCUACUUGCCCCCGCUUGCCCCACUCCAGGGGAGACUUCAGAGCCCCUCCACAGGGUCCCAGGGCAGGCUUGGGAGUCAGGCCCAGGGUAAGCCAGGCCCCGGACUUCUAGCCGUAUCACCUCGAGCAAGUUACAGAAGCUCUGAGCCUCAGAUUCCCCAUGUUCUGUGGGUCAUGAUUCCUAUAACUCCUGGGGGUGCUGCCAAGUAAAGCUCAACUGACCAAAGGAUGUGGAAACACUAAAUCCUGCAUAAACAUUCUAUACACAGA